UCUGAGCAAGUGUGUGCUGGUCUUCUUGAAGUCCUGACCAUACUCGCUGUGUUCUAGCUCAUAUUGAACCUGAUACACCAGCCUUGCAGAUACAACAUUCAUACCCUCACAGACAGACCCACUGGAUGCGGUGAGCAAGCCAGACAGCCCUGGAGAGACCACACGGAGGCACCGUCUUGCAGUAGAUUUUCAUAUAACUGGCGACGAGGUGAAUGAUUGUUAUAACAGAAAUGGACGCUGGUGGGUCAUGACAGGAGCAAUGGCUCCCUGUAAGGAGUUCUGAGGCAAAGCUGUUGGGUAAAUACGUAGUGCAGGGGUCAGUUGCUGAAAAUGAAUCAGAUUUUCGGAACAAUGGCCAACAAAUUGUACUUAGUCCUCCUAAUGAACAAAUGGGAAGUUGAGGCAACUAUGGGUGAUCUGACCCAUUUUCCACUCCUAAACUCACAAAGUCUGCUAUAAGAAGGAACCUUGAAUGACGACUAGUUGAGGGUCUUAGUCUCAGGCCUACACACUGGAAGGUUUCUUAGAAGGAUUUCUCCCACCCAUUGGUAUCUGCAAGACAUUACAAUUCAGAAGGAUGUGAAAAGUUCAUGAAUGCAUUAUCCAUCGCCGUAUAAAGAUUACUCCCAAACUUACUGGGACAAUAAACAUUUAUUAUCUCGUGGUUUCUGUGGGUCAGGAAUUCCGAAGCGCUUUAUCUGGGUGGUUCAAGCUCACGGUCUCAUGAAGUCUCAGGAAUGAUAAAGACCUGAGAGGGGGAAAAAAAAAAAAAAGAAGAAGAAGAAGAAGAAAAAAAAAAGACAGAAAGCAUCUCUGUGUCUUCUAUCUCCAUGGAAAAAGAAAGGGAAGAGGAUGGAAUUUUGCUAUGAGGAUUAAUUUAGACAAUAAAGAGAAAAGGCUUAGCUCAGUGUGUGGCAGAAGGUAGAAACCUGUAAGGGGCUCUUUUGUUCUCCCUCUUUCUUUCCCUUCAGGGUAAUGAGACACCAUCUGAAUGACAGUUAAAUGCCCCCAGCUCCGAGUGAGCCUUCCGGUUCUGCCUCCCCUCCGGCGCACUCCAGCCAUAGUUUCCAAAUCCAAGGAAGGGAUUCAGCCUUGGCGGUUUAAGUUUGUUUUCCCUGAGGAAGAUUGGCUGAGGCUUAAUAAAGUCAGGAUGUAUGAGA